rnacentral:rRNA from 1 species
ACAGCAGUAGCCACGGGAAUACGUAGGGUGCAAGCGUUAAUCGGAAUUACUGGGCGUAAAGCGUGCGCAGGCGGUUUGUUAAGACAGAUGUGAAAUCCCCGGGCUCAACCUGGGAACUGCAUUUGUGACUGGCAAGCUAGAGUCUGGCAGAGGGGGGUGGAAUUCCGUGUGUAGCAGUGAAAUGCGUAGAUAUGCGGAGGAACACCGAUGGCGAAGGCAGCCCCCUGGGCCAACACUGACGCUCAUGCACGAAAGCGUGGGGAGCAAACAGGAUUAGAUACCCGCGUAGUCCCUGUCUCUUAUAC